rnacentral:rRNA from 1 species
AGCGAACGCUGGCGGCAGGCUUAACACAUGCAAGUCGAGCGCCCCGCGAGGGGAGCGGCAGACGGGAGAGUAACACGUGGGAACGUACCCUUUAGUUCGGAACAACCCAGGGAAACUUGGGCUAAUACCGGAUACGUCCGUAAGGAGAAAGAUUUAUCGCUAAAGGAUCGGCCCGCGUCUGAUUAGCUAGUUGGUGAGGUAACGGCUCACCAAGGCGACGAUCAGUAGCUGGUCUGAGAGGAUGAUCAGCCUCACUGGGACUGAGACACGGCCCAGACUCCUACGGGAGGCAGCAGUGGGGAAUAUUGGACAAUGGGCGCAAGCCUGAUCCAGCCAUGCCGCGUGGGUGAUGAAAGCCCUAGGGUUGUAAAGCCCUUUCGGCGGGGAAGAUAAUGACGGUACCCGCAGAAGAAGCCCCGGCUAACUUCGUGCCAGCAGCCGCCGUAA